rnacentral:rRNA from 1 species
AUGGUUGUCGUCAGCUCGUGUCGUGAGAUGUUGGGUUAAGUCCCGCAACGAGCGCAACCCCUAUUGUUAGUUGCCAUCAUUCAGUUGGGCACUCUAGCGAGACUGCCGGUAAUAAACCGGAGGAAGGUGGGGGAUGACGUCAAAUCAUCAUGCCCCUUAUGACCUGGGCUACACACGUGCUACAAUGGUUGGUACAACGAGUUGCGAGUCGGUGACGGCGAGCUAAUCUCUUAAAGCCAAUCUCAGUUCGGAUUGUAGGCUGCAACUCGCCUACAUGAAGUCGGAAUCGCUAGUAAUCGCGGAUCAGCACGCCGCGGUGAAUACGUUCCCGGGCCUU